GGGAGUNANGAUCCGCANNGANNANAACUCAAAUGGNAUUGAACGGGGGCCCGCCCCAANCCGCUGGNGCAUGUGGUUUAAUUCGAUAGCAACNCGAAGAACCUUACCCAGCCNUUGACAUGGCAGGACGGUUUCCAGAGAAUGGAUUCCUUCCNUUUCGGGGACAUGACACACAGGUNAUGNCAUGGCUGUCGUCAGCUCGUGUUCGUGAGAUGNUGGGUUAAGUCNCGCACACGAGCGCAACCCUCGCCCUUAGUUGCCAUCAUUCAGUUGGGCACUCUAGGGGGACUGCCGGUGAUAAGCCGAGAGGAAGGUGGGGAUGACGUCAAGUCNUCAUGGCCCUUACGGGNUGGGCUACACACGUGCUACAAUGGCGGUGACAGNGGGAUGCUACUCCGCCAAGGGGAAGCCAAUCCCNAAAAGCCGUCUCAGUUCGGAUUGUCCUCUGCAACUCGAGGGCAUGAAGUUGGAAUCGCUAGUAAUCGUGGAUCAGCACGCCACGGUGAAUACGUUCCCGGGCCUUGUACACACCGCCCGUCACACCAUGGGAGUUGGUUCUACCCGAAGAUCGGUGCGCUAACCGCAAGGAGGCAGCCGGCCACGGUAGGGUCAGCGACUGGGGUGAAGUCGUAANCAAGGUACC
rnacentral:rRNA from 1 species